rnacentral:rRNA from 1 species
UACGUAGGGUGCAAGCGUUAAUCGGAAUUACUGGGCGUAAAGCGUGCGCAGGCGGUUCUAUAAGACAGAUGUGAAAUCCCCGGGCUCAACCUGGGAACUGCAUUUGUGACUGUAGAGCUGGAGUGCGGCAGAGGGGGAUGGAAUUCCGCGUGUAGCAGUGAAAUGCGUAGAUAUGCGGAGGAACACCGAUGGCGAAGGCAAUCCCCUGGGCCUGCACUGACGCUCAUGCACGAAAGCGUGGGGAGC